GAUGAACGCUGGCGGCGUGCCUAAUACAUGCAAGUCGAGCGAAUGGAUUAAGAGCUUGCUCUUAUGAAGUUAGCGGCGGACGGGUGAGUAACACGUGGGUAACCUGCCCAUAAGACUGGGAUAACUCCGGGAAACCGGGGCUAAUACCGGAUAACAUUUUGAACCGCAUGGUUCGAAAUUGAAAGGAGGCUUCGGUGGUCACUUAUGGAUGGACCCGCGUCGCAUUAGCUAGUUGGUGGGGUAACGGCUCACCAAGGCAACGAUGCGUAGCCGACCUGAGAGGGUGAUCGGCCACACUGGGACUGAGACACGGCCCAGACUCCUACGGGAGGCAGCAGUAGGGAAUCUUCCGCAAUGGACGAAAGUCUGACGGAGCAACGCCGCGUGAGUGAUGAAGGCUUUCGGGUCGUAAAACUCUGUUGUUAGGGAAGAACAAGUGCUAGUUGAAUAAGCUGGCACCUUGACGGUACCUAACCAGAAAGCCACGGCUAACUACGUGCCAGCCGCCGCUGUAA
rnacentral:rRNA from 1 species